GUUCCUAGCGGAGCUUCUGAAAUGGAAAAUCAACUAAAAGACCUGAAGCACAACCUCAGGCACAAGAUGGAUACUUACAAGGGAAGGUCUCGAGCACAGUUAGAGCACCUUCUCUGCUGUUUCAGAGGACUAGGACGGAAAAUAAUCGGGAAAAGUCGAACUCUAGCUGUAUGGCUUUAAUGCGAGAAAGCUAUGAGCUCAUCAAAACGAUGCAAUCCUUACAGCAGAGGACGCUGUUGCUGUUCCCCUGCUGUAUCCUGUACAAUUUUAUAUCGAUUCAAGGAUAAUUAAGCAUACUUGUGUAAGGAUCACUAUCCGAAGCAUCUCAUUUACUUGGAAAUCAACGCAUUCUGCUGGGGAAAAAAAAAAAGAAAAGUUUCGACGUCGAUUUGUUCGAAUACCGAAAUAUCGUGCUACACGUCGCGUAUCGUAGUCCGUAAGAAUCGCGAUGUGAACUUUUUAUCAUUUCAGAAGACUUCUAACUGCAGGGUUAUCAGAAAUUGUUGAAUUUUAUGUUAGGAAUAAUGACGUGACCAAUCAUAUAUUAAGGAGCCCGGUUCAUUUAAAAACAAACCUUGCUAAUAUUUUGUCCGGAGUGACCGACGGAAAAGGUGACAUACUUUUAAUUCAACAGUACAUCAUGAUCAGAAUCAGCUAAAACACCCUGUCGCAAUUCUUUUCUCUCUCAGAGAAUGAAAAAGUGCCUAUGCUGAUGAAUAAUUUCAUUACAGUGCUAAAGAGGACACGCACUGCAGUUACAGCUUUCCGUCACUAGAGGGAGACACAUGACUGAUUUAUAAACUACACAACUUCGUCUUUUUUUUUUUUUUUUUUAAAUCCUUAAAUUGGAUGUUGCUCAGUUAUUCAAGUUCAUUUCCACACCCCACAGACAUAUUAACAGGCAUGUUACAAAAGCACUGCUUAUUGCACAUUUUAAUAUAAAACAGUAUUUUAAAAAUCAUAUAUAUGAAUAUACAGAAAGAAAAACAACACACAAAAGAUAUAGUACACUUUCCAUACAGUGUGUUGAAUUCAAAAUAAUAACAAACAAACAAACAAAAAAUGAACCCACUGUUGGUCAAUACAUUUUACUGUACAAAAUCUCUCAUUAGGCAUGUCCUAAUAAUCAGUUAUACAAUACACUGCAACGUCCAAUACAUAUUAUUAUUAUUAUUAUUAUUCGCGAAGGCAGUUUAGGUAGGCGACAGCUUUUAUGCUCCUAAAAAUAACAUAUUUCCUAUGUAAAAGACUAUGUAAAAGAUGGUUGUUUUAUUGUUGGACAAAUUUACAAAAACGUGGAAUUGUAUACUUUCCUUAAUGACACAAAAACAAACCAAAAAAAAAAAACAACGCACAAACAUUAUGCGUAAUCUGGAGAACAAAAUGGUGGAUAGAACACACUGAUGUUUUGAUGGACUGAGGAUCAUGCUAGAAAAGUUUGAGGUAAUGUUUAAAUCGUGUUUGUCUUUUUCUUUUAAAGUCUUCUUUGUGAUGCAACAUGGAAUUUCAGUUAGCGGUUGAUGCUACGUGUAAGUACGGUGUACUUGUAACUGAACGGAGAUUUUUCUUGAUAAUUUAUCGACAUAUCUGAGGUAAAUGUUGACGUUCCCGUCAGGACCAUCUAAUUUUCGCCGACACUGUACCUUUACGUUGUCCGUAUAAACAACUUCAAGGCUUUACGCUAGCUAAACCUGUAUUUAGCAUGUUUCCUAGACGCCCAGCAACAAGAUCUGUUGUUCUCACGACUUUAACCACCGGUGCGUUUGUCUUCCUGCUUUGCGUUUGAAUGUAACAUGUCCCCAACAAAAGCUUAAACCAUAAUUGAAUGUUGGCACACGAGCUAACGGAGAUGAAAUGUAAAACGGCUAGCGGAGCUCACGGCCUCGGUUCAAUCACUUUUAGAUCUGAAUUAAACGUUAACGGUAUCCGUGGCUCUGUUCAUUCAAUUUACAUCGAUAAAGCUGCUCCCGGUUUUCGCUGAGGGGAAAUGAACUUGAUAUUACGUUUUAAUAUUCCUAAAUUAACAGCAUCAACUGUUAACACUCCGGUCAUCGUGAACGUGGGACGGAGCAGCGUGUUUAGCAUGUGCGUGUUUAGGAUGAAAUGAGAAUUUGAAUUGAACCCAGUGGAAACCCAUUGGACUGCUUCAAGAGGAUCAUGUACAGGGAUGGGGACAGGGGCAGGAAGCAGAGCUUGAAGACAUGAUGCCGCCAUGAUGUUACAGUCCUAAUGUGUGUUUCAUCUCUGGAUAUAUUCAAGUACAACGAGCAACACUGCUCGAUAAGAAGUGUACAUUUAUUAUACAAUACUGUACAGCUACAUAUAUACACGUACUUCUUCUGUAUGGUAGACUAUAUAACCCAUGUACGCCGACCUAUAUAGGUCCUAAUUAUUAACACCACUGUGUUGUGUUUACAUUCAUACCACAAACAUGGAAAAUACUUGUUUCUGAUUGGCUGGCAGGUGUUUGUUAUGUAGGACAGGGAGUAUAGUAUAUAACGGUGUUCCCAGGAUAGAGAAAAUAGUAUAUCCCAGUAUUCCCAGGAUAAGGAAUAUAGUAUAUCCCGGAUAAAUACACAUAAAACCCAAAUGAAUCAGAAAAUAGCAAACACCUGCCUCAAACACACACACACACACACACACACACACACUCCUUGAAAGAAUGAAAUGCAUCCUGGGAUAUCAAUCAAGCCACUUAAUCUGCUCCCUGCAUCACUUCCACCUCAACAUGUGACACAAUAAAAAACACACAACAGAACGAGCACACACACACACACACACACACACACACACACACACACACAUUAUGCUCUCUCACAUGCACAGUAAUUUGUCUGUGUGCAGACUCGCACAGCUCCAGACUGUAAAUGUGGGAAACACAAACAGAACCACAGAAGAGCAGAAAAUUACAUUUUGGUGAUUUAUCACACUGCGUGUAAACAUAAUAACACCGUAAACGUGUACAAAUAACGCCUGCGCUCCAUCAUUUAAAUUCAUCACGGAGAGCCACAGCCUCGGGCGAACGGAUCGCGCCUCUCUCGCAUCGGGCGUCUAGAUUCGAUCUUCUCUUCACGUGAAAUAAUUGUUCGGCUUAAAGGAGAAAAUAAAACCGCAGAAUUACCCACAGGACGUGACAAAAUCCAUGAUUUCUUUCUUCUCGUGCUCCCAAACCCGCGCGUCAGGUCUGGAUUUGCACUUUUCUAGUUAGCGUCACACGUGAGAGCAGACUGUGAGAAAGCGGUUCAGCUCUGCUCCAUAACUCUGUUAUGAAGCCUAGUGUGUGCCAAGUCCCUGAAUAAGGACGUUUACAGGCUUUUAAUCUCAACACCUAGUUCAUCUAUUUAAAAAAAAAAAAAAAAAAAAAAAAUUUAAUUCAGUUUAAAAAAAG
ensembl:lncRNA